rnacentral:rRNA from 1 species
GACGAACGCUGGCGGCGUGCUUAACACAUGCAAGUCGAACGGAAAGGCCCUGCUUUUGUGGGGUGCUCGAGUGGCGAACGGGUGAGUAACACGUGAGUAACCUGCCCUUGACUUUGGGAUAACUUCAGGAAACUGGGGCUAAUACCGGAUAGGAGCUCCUGCUGCGUGGUGGGGGUUGGAAAGUUUCGGCGGUUGGGGAUGGACUCGCGGCUUAUCAGCUUGUUGGUGGGGUAGUGGCUUACCAAGGCUUUGACGGGUAGCCGGCCUGAGAGGGUGACCGGCGACAUUGGGACUGAGAUACGGCCCAGACUCCUACGGGAGGCAGCAGUGGGGAAUAUUGCACAAUGGGCGGAAGCCUGAUGCAGCAACGCCGCGUGCGGGAUGACGGCCUUCGGGUUGUAAACCGCUUUCGCCUGUGACGAAGCGUGAGUGACGGUAAUGGGUAAAGAAGCACCGGCUAACUACGUG